rnacentral:rRNA from 1 species
UACGUAGGGCGCAAGCGUUGUCCGGAAUUAUUGGGCGUAAAGAGCUCGUAGGCGGCCAGUUGCGUCCGCUGUGAAAUCCUGGGGCUUAACCCCGGGCGUGCAGUGGAUACGGGCUGGCUAGAGGCAGGCAGGGGAGAACGGAAUUCCUGGUGUAGCGGUGAAAUGCGCAGAUAUCAGGAGGAACACCAAUGGCGAAGGCAGCUCGCUGGGACGGUACUGACGCUGAGACGCGAAAGCCAGGGGAGCAAACGGG